UACCCSCUGAAAAUUAAGCAUAUCACUAAGCGGAGGAAAAGAAACUAACAAGGAUUCCCUGAGUAACGGCGAGUGAAACGGGAAGAGCCCAGCACCGAAUCCCCCGGCCGUGUGGUUGGAGGGAACUGUGGUGUUUGGGAGUACCUCUGGGGCGGUUGGUGGGCGUUCGAGUCCUCCUGAUUGGGGCUUGACCCUGAGCGGGUGUAAGGCCUCUACAGCACCUGCCACCGUCUCUCUGGAGCUCCCUGGAGUCGGGUUGUUUGAGAUUGCAGCCCAAAGUGGGUGGUAAACUCCAUCUAAGGCUAAAUACAUGCACGAGUCCGAUAGCGAACAAGUACGGUGACGGAAAGUUGAAAAGAACUU
rnacentral:rRNA from 1 species